rnacentral:rRNA from 1 species
AUGGAUUGAGAGCUUGCUCUCAAGAAGUUAGCGGCGGACGGGUGAGUAACACGUGGGUAACCUGCCCAUAAGACUGGGAUAACUCCGGGAAACCGGGGCUAAUACCGGAUAAUAUUUUGAACUGCAUGGUUCGAAAUUGAAAGGCGGCUUCGGCUGUCACUUAUGGAUGGACCCGCGUCGCAUUAGCUAGUUGGUGAGGUAACGGCUCACCAAGGCAACGAUGCGUAGCCGACCUGAGAGGGUGAUCGGCCACACUGGGACUGAGACACGGCCCAGACUCCUACGGGAGGCAGCAGUAGGGAAUCUUCCGCAAUGGACGAAAGUCUGACGGAGCAACGCCGCGUGAGUGAUGAAGGCUUUCGGGUCGUAAAACUCUGUUGUUAGGGAAGAACAAGUGCUAGUUGAAUAAGCUGGCACCUUGACGGUACCUAACCAGAAAGCCACGGCUAACUACGUGCCAGCAGCCGCGGUAAUACGUAGGUGGCAAGCGUUAUCCGGAAUUAUUGGGCGUAAAGCGCGCGCAGGUGGUUUCUUAAGUCUGAUGUGAAAGCCCACGGCUCAACCGUGGAGGGUCAUUGGAAACUGGGAGACUUGAGUGCAGAAGAGGAAAGUGGAAUUCCAUGUGUAGCGGUGAAAUGCGUAGAGAUAUGGAGGA